rnacentral:lncRNA from 1 species
GUAGGAUCAAGGCCAAGCCCCUAUAUCAGUCAUUAAACAUUUAGGUCUACUUUUAAAGUCAAUCCUGUUUCUAAUACAGUGAAAUGCCACGAGUGAGUGACUGAAUCCUUUCUACUCAUUAUUUUGUGAGGACCAGAGUUCACGCCAUAUGUGUUAGUACACUCCACACUGACCUGUAAGAGGCAUAAAUAUAGAGCUCUGGUUUCCCACAUAGCUGCAAUACCUGUCUCCUGUAAUCUUCACCAAAAUGACCCUGUCUUCUUGGUGUCUUAAGACUUCCCCAUAACCAUAUCCCUGGACUCUUCCCAUGAGCUCAGAAUUAUUGCUUCUCUGGUUCUCCUAAGCCUCUGCUUCAUCCUGUAUCCUCAGCAUCUUCCCUUACAGUGAUAAUUUGACUUUAUCCUGCUUUUUAAUUCAAGUAUUUGCUCAUAUUCUCACAUUUACCUCUUUUACCGGACAGGUGAGCAAGAGGUUGUGCGCGCAAGGCCACGGCUGGAGCUGCAUGCCCACCAAAGCCACAGAGGCUCCUUAAAAACACAGUUGUAUUUCUUCCCUCUGCCUGUGCGGUGUUUUACAUUCUCAUGACGAUGGAGACAUGCUCUGCUGGCGAUGAACUUGGACUCAUAAUAUCAGCAUAGAGGUGAAAAUAGACCAUUCACAGCUUAACAUCCUCCUGAUUUACGUUCUUGCAGCAAAGGUGAUGAGCUCUUGAUACAAGUGAAUAACUGUAUCAUUGGAAAAUGUUUCUGAUGUUGUUUCAGCUGCUUAAGUAAAAAUGUUAAGCUUUCUCACCAUUAGGAACAUGAUUUAGUGGCGCGUCAAGAUUUCCCUUUUCUGGCCACUCAGUUCAGACUUUGAAUAUAUUGUAGUUGGCUUCAGUUUUCAGAGCCAUGUGUU